GCCCAGGUGGUGAAAUUGGUAGACACGCUACUUUGAGGGGGUAGUGACCGAAAGGUUGUGCUGGUUCGAAUCCAGUCCUGGGCAC
rnacentral:tRNA from 2 species